rnacentral:rRNA from 1 species
CCUACGGGAGGCAGCAGUAGGGAAUAUUGCUCAAUGGGGGAAAGCCUGAAGCAGCAACGCCGCGUGGAGGAUGAAGGUUUUCGGAUUGUAAACUCCUUUUGUUAGAGAAGAUAAUGACGGUAUCUAACGAAUAAGCACCGUCUAACUCCGUGCCAGCAGCCGCGGUAAUACGGAGGGUGCAAGCGUUAGUCGGAUUCACUGGGCGUAAAGGGCGCGUAGGCGGUAUAGCAAGUCAGCUGUGAAAUCCUAUGGCUUAACCAUAGAACUGCAUUUGAAACUGUUAUUCUAGAGUGUGGGAGAGGUAGGUGGAAUGCUUGGUGUAGGGGUGAAAUCCGUAGAGAUCAAGAGGAAUACUGAUUGCGAAGGCGGCCUGCUAGAACAUAACUGACGCUGAUGCGCGAAAGCGUGGGGAGCAAACAGGAUUAGAUACCCGUGUAGUC